CAAAAUCAGGAAACAAAAACUUCAAAUAGAUACAACUUUUUAACACUAUUUCUAUCGUAGUCAGUUCUGGCGCGGAGUUGCGCUUAGUGGCGCAGAGGUGUUAUUAUUUCUGUUCUGUAUGUAUUUUUGUAUGGGAAUGAAUGUUGUGGUGAUUGUUUUCUUUUUAUAUCUAUUGUUUGGGUGAAAAUUUUAAGCUUUUUAGAGUAUCUCGAAGAGUCUUCGGAAUUCGGAUGCUUUCUUUGGCAGCGCAAAACUGUUGGUCGGAAAACGGAGAGGCGGCGGCAGGCUGUGGGACUUCCCAGCGCUGAUCGGAGGAUGCAGCGGCGUGGGCUGUAUAUACCCCAGCGCUGGUCGGCGGACGCGACAGCGGCGGGCUGUGGGACGUCCAGCGCUGGACGGAGGACGCGGCGGCGCGGGCGCCGUCGGAUGUCCAAGUGCUGGAUGGAGGAGGCGUGGCAGGUUGCUGUGCAGACAUCAGUGGCACUGACCUCGAAAAGCGGUGCCCGCGUGUACAUAAUGUGUGCUUGUAUAAAUACAUUUGGUACAGAUUA